GCGUGGGUGAAGAAGGUCUUCGGAUUGUAAAGCCCUUUCGGCGGGGACGAUGAUGACGGUACCCGCAGAAGAAGCCCCGGCUAACUUCGUGCCAGCAGCCGCGGUAAUACGAAGGGGGCUAGCGUUGCUCGGAAUGACUGGGCGUAAAGGGCGCGUAGGCGGCGCAUUUGGUCAGGCGUGAAAGUCCUGGGCUCAACCUGGGGAUUGCGUUUGAUACGGGUGUGCUUGAGUUCGGAAGAGGGUCGUGGAAUUCCCAGUGUAGAGGUGAAAUUCGU
rnacentral:rRNA from 1 species